UGGAAGGCACUAAGUCUUACAUUAUAACUCGAUGAGCUGAUUUAUCUGCGUUUUAAUAUUCCUUAGAGCUUUUUUGAUGGAUGCCAAGGCUUUCUAGGUCAGGUAUAAUCUGCAAUCUCUUUACUAGUUCGUUUGCAAGCUUCCAUGGCUGCAGUACGCUGUGUUUUCCACCAACUGGCAACCCAAGUUGUUGAAAUACAAUUGGGUAAACUACUGUAGCAGUGGGUGGAAUCACACAGAUCAAAACAAAAACAGACAUUCCGACAUGGAAUGCACAUUUCAAAGUAGAAUAACUGUCUGUAGCAUUGUUUAACAGAGAAACAAGUAUGUGAACUAAGACCCCAGGGGGCACCUGGGGUGGCCAGCCAAAUUUCAGGGGGGGCUGGUGCCACCCCUGGCCACCACGUAGACACACCUCUGCUUCCUUCUUCAGCUACUUGUUGAGAAGUUGAGUACUGAGAUUACCACCAGAGACACACAAGACAGAAGUAUAUGGCUAAGCAUUCACUUCUGUGUAUCUUUGUGAGAGUUCCUCACAGUUCCUCUCUCAUUGACACACACAGCAGUUCAACCUUUCCCAUAAAAUUCCAAACCACAUCAAUAUUACACAGAUCUAGUGAGUCGGGUAAAUUAUGUAGAUUAUGUUUUGAAAGACUGGGAACACUUUUCUCACAUCAGAGCUGGGUGAGCUGCUCCACCUGGGCACAUUUUGAUGUAAACACGGAAGGGAGUGCUUUCAUUAGCCACGUUCAUAUUAUUGAUAUGCACCUUUUGAGGAGGGAGUGUGGGAACAGAGGCUUUUCGGAGACGAAGGAACUGCUGUUUGUACUGAGGAAAGGUUUUUGUUCCCGAGCUACACAGUGUUGCACCCCACAGUCAAAAACCCAGAUGAAGAAACUGAACAGAAAGUCAUAUUUCACUAACCUAACACCUAUAGUUGCCAUCAACUUGAUAAAAAUAGCUUUAGAUAAAACAACUUUUGCAAGCAAACUGUGUCUAGGGUUUAACUCACAGGCUCUUGGCAAGAUAUU
ensembl:lncRNA